rnacentral:rRNA from 1 species
AACGAACGUUAGCGGCGCGCCUAACACAUGCAAGUCGAGCGAGAAAGGGCUUCGGCCCCGGUACAGCGGCGCACGGGUGCGUAACACGUAGGUAAUCUUCCCUCGAGCGGGGGAUAACCUUCCGAAAGGAGGGCUAAUACCGCAUAAGACCACGGAGUCGAAAGGCACUGAGUCAAAGCCGGCCAAUACACGUAAGCUGGCACUUGAGGAUGAGCCUGCGGCCCAUCAGCUAGUUGGUAGGGUAAUGGCCUACCAAGGCCAAGACGGGUAGCUGGUCUGAGAGGAUGAUCAGCCACACUGGAACUGAGACACGGUCCAGACUCCUACGGGAGGCAGCAGUGGGGAAUCUUGCGCAAUGGGGGCAACCCUGACGCAGCGACGCCGCGUGAGUGAUGAAGGCCUUCGGGUUGUAAAGCUCUGUGGAGGGAGACGAAUAAGCCAUGGCCAAUAUCCAUGGUGAUGACGGUAUCCCUUUAGCAAGCACCGGCUAACUCUGUGCCAGCCGCCGCCGUAACAC